rnacentral:piRNA from 7 species
GUAGUCGUGGCCGAGUGGUUAAGGCUAUGGA